ensembl:lncRNA
AAAAGGUAUUGAUCAGUGUCAUACUUUCAAGCCACCUUUGUAGAAAAAAAAAUCCACAAUCAAUCAUUCUUGUCAUAUAUACCAAAUAAUAAUGUGCUCUAGAUUUGCAUAAAUUGAUUCCGCAAUUGAUUAAAUGAUAACAAAAUAAACGCCAUGUAGUAAAUAUUGGACAUCCUGGGCCCCUGGAGGUGGUAGGUCUUCCCCAGUCCCCUCCGUGCCUAAUGAAUAUUGUGCAAAAGAGAGAAAAAUAUUUGAUCCUUUUAGACUUGGACACGACCAAUAUACAUCGGUCAUCCACACCACUGAACAUUAAUGAUCACAACACGACACACAAUGUUCUGCUGGUUCUGGACGAUUGAGUAUGUUUUUCUUUUAUUAUUUUUUUUUUUUUUAACAGAUAUCGACUUCCUAAAGUUUACAUUCAGAGAUGGCAAAAAGCCCAAAGCAUUUACCUUCAGACUCCCAAUGAUAAUUAAUGUAAUGCAGGAGACCUGCAUAACAUUAAGUGGGUGAUUUUGCAGUUCCUCUAAAGCAGUGUUUCCCAGCCAUUUGGAGCCACGGCACAUAUUUCACAUAAGAAAAAUCACGGCACACGGCAUACCAAAACAAAAAUGUCACAAAAUAAUAGUGAUCAUUUUCCUUGCGCUCCAGAUAUAGCUGAAUUGGCUCGGUUUGUCCCCAGUAUACCUUUUUUGCUUUCUUCUGACCCCUCCUCAUGCUAGGGCCUUCAUCUGUAUUGAUGGUUCGAGCCCCGACUUGGACAGUCUCGGUCGUUGUGUCCUUGGGCAAGACACUUGACCCGUUGCCUACUGGUGGUGGUCAGAGGGCCCGGUGGCACCAGUGUCCGGCAGCCUCGCCUCUGUCAGUCUGCCCCAGGGCAGCUGUGGCUACAAUGUAGCUUGGCAUCGCCAGUGUGUGAAUGUGUGUGUGAAUGGGUGAAUGACUGAAUGUAGUGUAAAGCACUUUGGGGUCCUUAGGGACUAGAAAAGCGCUAUACAAAUGCAGGCCAUUUACCAUUUACCAUUAUGCCAGCUAAUGUUAGGUUUGAAUGUCGUAAAAUAAAAACAAAAAAAAAUAUUACAUCUCAUACACUGAUGAACACUUUGACUGCAUUCUCACAGCGUAUGAGACUUUAUUCACUAAAUGUUGAACACAGCUGCAUCCACUUAAAAAACAGUUUCACUAACCCCGGCUAACAGCAGCUAACAGAGGCAAAAAGAGCAGGACUUACCAACAGGAACAUUCAGGAUAUCCUCAACAGCUCACCUCAGUAUCAGUGACAUCACACACAAGUGAAAUUCACUGACUCAUCGACCUGUUUUGGACUUCUUUUACAAAGUUUUAUAGCCUCCUCCAGAAUAAAAUAGAGGCGGACGAUUCUCACCCAGCAUUGACAGCUGAGGUAAACAGUGGACUAACAGCCUUUCACUCAUAUGGAAAAAUCUACUGAAUCUACUGAAGAAAAGAUGAAAAUUUUAAGUGACUCAAGGUUAAAAACAAGAUACCACAAAACAUUUAAAUGACUGUUAACUGAGUUGUUUGGUGUACGCGUGUCUUAUUUUCUG